CGCCUGCCCCCAGCAUCCCUCCCCCCUUCCAUUUUGCAACUCUUGUGUUUGGCUUCCAGCCCUUUCAGGCCUCUUGUCCGGUCUUUUCCAGGCCAUCCCACUGAUCUCCUGAAUUGAGGAAUUCCCUGAUGAGGCUGUUGCCGACAGCUGGGUUUGUUCAGUUCGGCUGCAGAGCCAAAACACCUCAGCAGAUGGAAGAGAGACCCGUCUCAUGGAAGAUGUGCUCAGAUAUUUUGUUUUUCUCCCCCAGGGAGAACUGUGGUCUGCUACCAUUAAACAUAGCUGCUUUCAAUGAUCAACAGGAAAUUACCUGAAAGUAAUGUGAUGAAGAUACUAAUUGGAUCAGAUAAAGUGGAAUGGUGAUUUAAAACUCAUUAAGUGCAUCGUAUGCAUGUUGUUUAUUUACUCUGGGAAAAGGGAGCUCCAGCUUCAGGUGUAUGCAGCUGAGUAGUCCUCAUCACUUCUGCCGUGGUUUGGUGGCAUCUUAGUCCUAACUGGAUAAGUCUACACAGUGGUAAUGCAUUGUGAAGUGCAGAUGUACCCUCUGUGUACUGAAGCAGUACAAAUGAGAAAGGUGAAACUCUCAUAGUCAUAAAGCAAUGAUGUUUCUGGACAGCGAUAGCCUGCUCAGGAACUCCUAUGAUUCUCAAAAAUAUGUUAAACUAAUAAACCAAACAAUUCUCAGCA